GUGACCGGGCCGCUUUUGCAGACACCCCGCUCGCUCAAGGGGCUUCACUGAAGGUGGGGCGGGCAGGAAGGGGAAGGAGGGUGGGAGACGGAACUGAGGACUAGGAGGUGGGCAGAGCGGGGUGGAGAAGCCACUUCAUCGCGACGGGGGGAGGCUGGGGGAACUGCAGCCCCGUCUGCCCGGCGAAACCGCUUUAAGGCUAGAUGGCAAAGCAACAGCGGCGGCCGAGGCGCUCGGGUCGGUCGUUGUCCUCGCGCCGCGCCCUCACGAAGCGCCCCCACAGAGGCCCACCGCGCCCCUGCCCGCCUCGGCCGAGCCCGGCGCCCGCCCGCCGCGCCCACCACGCCCGCCGGCGCCGGCACAGGGGCCCGACACGAGAGACGCCGGUGGGAGCUCCGAGAGUGCUCCGGGCCGCCGCGCCCGGUGACAGCGGUCCCCGCGCCGCCUCACCUCCUGGGCGGCCGUGGCAGCGGCCCCGCAGCUCUCCUCUCCUCUCCGCCUCCGCCUCCAGCAGCCCCGCACCGCCGCCUCCUCCCCCCGCGUCUCUGGCAAGUCUCCGCCUCCCUCGGCCGCCGCCGGUCCGGCUGCGCGCCACGUGACCGCGCCACGUGACCCGGCGCGGCGAGCGGCGCCUUCCCGCUAGCCUGCCCGGACCCGCGCGCUGGCCAUUGGCGCUGCCCAGGCCGUCGGCCCUGCUCCGCCUUGCGCUGGGGUGCGGGAUACCACCCUGGCUCUUCCCCCACACCCGGCUGAGCUCACCUCUCGAGCUGCGGGGACGGGAAUGGGAGCGGCCGCCCAGCAGAGCCCCACCCCCACCCAGAGACUGCUCCCCCAGCCGCGCCGCCUCCCGCCUCGCCGCUCACUUGCGCGCGCGCACUCACACGCACACCCUCGCGCGCGCAUCCCGUAGCUCUCGCCCGCUAGACCGCGGCUGGACGGCUGUGAGGACAGUCUGAGGAAGAGUCGGCGGAACCUCGCCCACAAGAGGAACCCUUAUACCAGAUUCGUGCGCAGUCCGAACUCAGUUUGAGCCGGAAGUGGACAUCACGUCGUGUCUUAAGCUGCGAGCUUCCAGAGAGAACAGAUUUGCUUGUACUAUGGACUAGCGUGGGUCCCCAUGAAAAGUCUUUGAAGUGUUUGAUGGUGAUGAUCUCACAGAGUAUCUCUUUUCCAGUUCGUUUUAUGGAGAAACGAGCUGAUAGCGUCAUUUUAACUCACAAAAGCUGGAACUCAGCCGGCUCCCCCACCCCACCCCGUGUUCUGCUAAGAACGGAAACUUUAGUCAUCCCUUUCAUUUUCCAUCAUUACAAAGAAAUAGCGUUGCAGAUUUUGGGACUAUGCGUAUGUGUAUUUUAAACUAAAAAAUAGACAAGCAUUUUUUCCUUGAUUUGAGGCACAGUUAAGAAUAGUAGCCACUCUGCAAGUCUUUGUGGACUUACAAUUUACCAAAUGAAGACACUGAAACCCCAAGACAGUGGUGGCAAACCUAUGGCACGUGUGCUGCAGCCAGCUGUUUGUUAUCAUUCAAAGUUCUAAAAGGUUCACCAUCACUGCCAUAAGACAAAACUUUAAAAAGAG
ensembl:lncRNA